rnacentral:rRNA from 1 species
UGAACCGACUGUCUAGUAUAAGCAACUAUACGGUGAAACUGCGAAUGGCUCAUUAAAUCAGUUAUCGUUUAUUUGAUAGUACUUUACUACAUGGAUAACCGUGGUAAUUCUAGAGCUAAUACAUGCUAAAAACCCCGACUUCGGGAGGGGUGUAUUUAUUAGAUAAAAAACCAAUGCCCUUCGGGGCUCUAUGGUGAAUCAUAAUAACUUAACGAAUCGCAUGGCCUUGCGCCGGCGAUGGUUCAUUCAAAUUUCUGCCCUAUCAACUUUCGAUGGUAGGAUAGUGGCCUACCAUGGUAUCAACGGGUAACGGGGAAUUAGGGUUCUAUUCCGGAGAGGGAGCCUGAGAAACGGCUACCACAUCCAAGGAAGGCAGCAGGCGCGCAAAUUACCCAAUCCCGACACGGGGAGGUAGUGACAAUAAAUACUGAUACAGGGCUCUUUUGGGUCUUGUAAUUGGAAUGAGUACAAUUUAAAUACCUUAACGAGGAACAAUUGGAGGGCAAGUCUGGUGCCAGCAGCCGCGGUAAUUCCAGCUCCAAUAGCGUAUAUUAAAGUUGUUGCAGUUAAAAAGCUCGUAGUUGAACCUUGGGCCUGGCUGGCCGGUCCGCCUCACCGCGUGUACUGGUCCGGCCGGGCCUUUCCUUCUGGGGAACCGCAUGCCCUUCACUGGGCGUGUGUGGGAACCAGGACUUUUACUUUGAAAAAAUUAGAGUGUUCAAAGCAGGCCUUUGCUCGAAUACAUUAGCAUGGAAUAAUAGAAUAGGACGUGUGGUUCUAUUUUGUUGGUUUCUAGGACCGCCGUAAUGAUUAAUAGGGAUAGUCGGGGGCAUCUGUAUUCAAUUGUCAGAGGUGAAAUUCUUGGAUUUAUUGAAGACAAACUACUGCGAAAGCAUUUGCCAAGGAUGUUUUCAUUAAUCAGUGAACGAAAGUUAGGGGAUCGAAGACGAUCAGAUACCGUCGUAGUC